rnacentral:rRNA from 1 species
GACGAACGCUGGCGGCGUGCUUAACACAUGCAGGUCGAACGGAAAGGCCCUGCUUUUGUGGGUUUCUCGUUUGGCGAACGGGUGAGUAACACGUGUGUAACCUUCCCUUGUCUUUGUGAUAUCUUCACGAAACUGCGGCUAAUACCGGAUAUGAUCUCCUGCUGCAUGGUGUGGGUUGGAUAUUUUCGGCGGUUGGGGAUGGACUCGCUGCUUAUCAGCUUGUUUGUGGGGUAGUGGCUUACCAAGGGUUUGACGGGUAGCCGGCCUGUGAGGGUUACCGGGGACAAGGGGACUGAGAUACGGACCAGAAGGCAACGGGAGGCAGGAGUGGGGAAUAUUGCAGAAUGGGAGGAAGCCUGAUGAAGCAAAGCCGGGUGCGGGAAGACGGGCUACGGGUUGAAAAAAGAUGUGGAAUGAGACGAAGAGGGAGUGACGGUAAUGGGUAAAGAAGCACCGGCUAACUACGUG